GACAGAGGGUGCAAACGUUGUUCGGAAUUACUGGGCGUAAAGCGUGUGUAGGCGGUCUCUUAAGUCGGAUGUGAAGGCCCCGGGCUCAACCCGGGAAGUGCACUCGAAACUGGGAGGCUAGAGUACUGGAGAGGUUGGUGGAAUUCUCGGUGUAGAGGUGAAAUUCGUAGAUAUCGAGAGGAACACCGGUGGCGAAGGCGGCCAACUGGACAGAUACUGACGCUGAGACACGAAAGCGUGGGGAGCAAACAGG
rnacentral:rRNA from 1 species